GGAUAAUAGUUAACGAUAACAUCUAACUUGCACUUAGAAGGUACUAUACUUUAGUUUAUCUUA
rnacentral:tRNA from 1 species